GUUUCUCUUCAGAUCGUAUGAAUCUUUAAAUUUACUAAAGAUUCCUGGGGAGGUGAGCA
rnacentral:snRNA from 1 species